GCCUGGGUGGCUCAGUUGGUUAAGUGUCCGACUUCGGCUCAGGUCAUGAUCUCAUGGUUUGUGGGUUCAAGCCCCACAUCGGGCU
rnacentral:tRNA from 1 species